AGCCUCAGCUCACGAAAAAUGGACUCGAAUGUGGAGAAAGCAAAUCAAUCAAUCAAUCACUGUAAGAAUCUGCAAUAACUAUAACCUUAAUUUGAUUUUCCUCUCCUUUUACAAUUAAGACACAACUAAACAUUAGCGAUUCUACAAAAACUAGAAUCCAUUUAAAGCUAAAAAUCAUUUUUCAUCAACUUAUUUCAAUCAGUUUCAAUCCAUAAGUUAAUUGAAAUAUUAUUAUUUCAUCAUUAUUUCUGUUGAUCCUAAUUGAUUACAAGAAGAUGAAAUAAUUGUCAAACUAUUAAUCAAAAUGCUUCUUAAUGAUUGGUUACAUUUAUACCCAAUAAUCGGAAUGGCAAGUUUAACGAGUGUAUUAUUACUGUUAUGUAGUUUUGCACGAACCAAGCCAAGAUCCACAGGUUAAUAAUUACUGAUUAAAAUCGUCGAUUGAUUAAACAAUUUGUUCACUUUUUACAGAAAUAAUCAAAGGCCCAAAUCAUUAACACAAGUUCAACCGGCUAAUUUGUUAACUAACGAAGAUUCAUCCAAAGUAUUUCGAGGCUGUGGAAGCCUAGCAAGCGGAAGUUCAGGUCACAGUGUUUCAGUCGACACUCUUUCAGCUGCUCCAGUUGUAGCGAUUACCGUUCAAGAGGAACCCAAACUAAAAUAUCAAGCGAAAACUGUACUACAAGCUGUUAAUGUCAUCAAGAAUAAACCUAAAGUCGAACUCAAAAAAUCAAAAGAAUCUAUUAAAGUUCAACCCAAAAGGAUGUUACUAUCGCCUAAGAAAUUCAAAUCGGACUCAAUCAAUAUCGGAGUGAAAUCGUUUCCAUCCUUAAAAUCAAUUAUUUCAAUUAGUGAUUCGGAACCCGAAAUAUCAUCAAUCAGAACAAUUUACAAGAGCAAGAAUAAGAAAAAAAUUAAAUCAAUAAUCAGUGCCUUCGAUCUUGAGAAAUCUAAAGACUCUGAGGAUUGAUAAAAAUAACUCACUUGAGAUAAUCAACUAAAUCAACGUUAAUCAACUUCUAAGAAAUGGUUAAUUAUCAACUGAUUUAUUUUUUCCCCUUUAGUUUGAUUAUCUAAUCUAUCAAAUUGUUGUUGCAAUUUUGUACAUUUGAUUCGGACAGUUAACAAACAAUUUAAUAUCCACUCAUUAAAUCAAAUCCUGAUAUUAGUUACCAAAGGAUGUUGAUUUUAUUUACUUAUUGAUUGUAAAUAACUAAUUCAAAAUAAUCAACUGAUUUUCUAUUGAUUAAUCAUUAA